GAUAGUAGUAGCGAACGAACCUAUUGAUACACAUUUUAAAUUGCUCAGACUAAUCAAAGUCUAGUGCUAAAGAAGCAAAACUUAUAAGGACAGUACUGUGAAGGAAAACAAAUACAUGUAUAACUCCUCAAUAUACUAAUUAUAAUCUAAUUUACCUUUUGUAUCAUGGACCUACAAGAAAAAUCUUUAGUUAACUAAGGUUUAACUAAUCUAUUUAACAAUUAACGACUCCCGAAACUGAGUGGUCAAUUCCAGGGCAGCAUUUAGUGCAAACUAAUAACUGUUUCAAAAGUUUUAGGUGAACUUGGAAUAGAGGUUAAAUACUAAUCGAACUCAGAAAUAGCUGGUUUUCUACGAAAUCUUUAUAAGAAGAAAUAAUUAAAUCUAAAUUUUAGGUAAACCAAAAUAAUUUAAAUUUAGUGAAAAUUACUUACAGACCAUUAAUGAUAAGAUUGGUGGUCCAAUGAGAAACAACUCACAGCAAAAGCUAAAGACGCCCACACAAUAAGUGCUACCUAAAAUAAAUUAAAGAUAAGAAAUUAGUAGGCCCGGAAGCAGCCAUCUUAUUAACAACGCGUAAUAGCGGUUUUCAAAAAUACCUAUUUUAAAAAUAAUGGCGACUAUAUUACCCCUAAAGCUUUGCAAUUAUUAGUAGAACAGACUAUAAUAAUAGUGGAGAUAAUGUAGGUAUGAAUAAUAUAUAAAUUUUGCGGUUAAUAUACUAAACAGUUUUUAAAUUACAAAUAAUAAAGUGCUAAUACCUUAUAUAAAAAAUCGGCCUUAAUUAACUGUUCUAUCUAACCAAAGAAAAAUUUUUACAAACCUAAUAAUUAUUAAGGAACUCGGCAAAAUAAAGUUCCAAGCUUAACAAGGAGAUCGACUGUUUACCAAAAACAUAGCCUUACAACUACCCUUGCAAGGUGAAACCUGCUCAAUGGCUAUAAAUAAAAAAUAAUAGUAGUUAAAUAGCCGCGGUAACUCUGACCGUGAUAAAGUAGCAUAAUCACUCGUCAUUUAAUUGGUGACUAGAAUGAAUGGUUAAACGAAUCUCCAACUGUCUCAAUAAUUAAGUUAAUGAAGUUAAAGUAAUAGUGAAGAUACUAUUUAAUAAUUGUAAGACGAAAAGACCCUAUUGAGCUUUACUAAAAGCUUAAAAAUAUCAAACACACAAUAAUAUUAUACCAAGAAAAAUCUUUUAAGCGGAUUAGUUUGGUUGGGGCGACCACCUCUAAAAAAGUAUCAGAGGUAAUCUAAAGGUUAUUUUUAAAUAAAAAAAAGCCUAACUGUAUAUUCACUCAUUAAUCAGUUACUAACAGUAGGAUAUAAUGACCCGCUAAUUUUCUUUUAUUAAUUUUAGCGAACAUGAAAAAAGUUACCAUAGGGAUAACAGGGUAAUAUUUCUGAAGAGUUCUCAUCAAUAGAAAUGUUUGCCACCUCGAUGUUGAAUUGCGAUAACCUAAAGGUGCAGCAGCUUUAAAGGGUUGGUCUGUUCGACCAUUAAAAUCGUACAUGAUUUGAGUUCAUUCCGUCGUAAGACAGGAAGGUUUCUAUCUACAAUUAUGGGCUUUAAUAAACUUUAGUACGAAAGGAAUUAGUAUUAAUGUUUCUAUAACAAAAAAGUUAGCUUGACAUAAUAUAAAGU
rnacentral:rRNA from 1 species